rnacentral:tRNA from 1 species
GCCUGGGUGACUCAGUUGGUUAAGUGUCUGACUUUGGCUCAGGUCAUGAUCACGGGAUUCCUGGGUUCAAGCCCCAAGUCAGGCU